AACUUAAUUUGAUCGGAAAAUGCGAAUGAUGAAUAUCAAAUUUAUUAUUUCUUCACUUUGAUCCG
rnacentral:sRNA from 1 species